UGAAAACUAUCGCAUUGCCAGAGUCAAAGGUCGAAAAUCUUGUAUAUUGUUCUCUCACUUAAUAUUCCAGGUGUCAUAACAAAGUGAGCUCUUCUCAUCUCGCUUAUCCAAUUUAUGACACCAUUCCAUAUGACCUCACUGGGU
ensembl:ncRNA C36F7.12 ncRNA